rnacentral:rRNA from 1 species
AUGAAUGAAGUGAACUUGAGCUCUCUAGUGCUUCUAUUUUCUCUUCGAAAGCAUUUACUAGUAUUCGUAGUCCGCGGCAGAGAACAAGACAGCAAGCGAGCAUACCUUUGUUCGCUUCUUUUCCACCAAGCACAGAAGUUUAAGGAGAACUGUAGGUCGGUGGCUACCUAA